CCUACGGGAGGCAGCAGUGGGGAAUAUUGCACAAUGGGCGGAAGCCUGAUGCAGCAACGCCGCGUGCGGGAUGACGGCCUUCGGGUUGUAAACCGCUUUCGCCUGUGACGAAGCGUGAGUGACGGUAAUGGGUAAAGAAGCACCGGCUAACUACGUGCCAGCAGCCGCGGUGAUACGUAGGGUGCGAGCGUUGUCCGGAUUUAUUGGGCGUAAAGGGCUCGUAGGUGGUUGAUCGCGUCGGAAGUGUAAUCUUGGGGCUUAACCCUGAGCGUGCUUUCGAUACGGGUUGACUUGAGGAAGGUAGGGGAGAAUGGAAUUCCUGGCGGAGCGGUGGAAUGCGCAGAUAUCAGGAGGAACACCAGUGGCGAAGGCGGUUCUCUGGGCCUUUCCUGACGCUGAGGAGCGAAAGCGUGGGGAGCGAACAGGCUUAGAUACCCUGGUAGUCCACGCUGUAAACGGUGGGUACUAGGUGUGGGGUCCAUUCCACGGGUUCCGUGCCGUAGCUAACGCUUUAAGUACCCCGCCUGGGGAGUACGGCCGCAAGGCUAAAACUCAAAGGAAUUGACGGGGCCCCGCACAAGCGGCGGAGCAUGCGGAUUAAUUCGAUGCAACGCGUAGAACCUUACCUGGGUUUGACAUGGAUCGGGAGUGCUCAGAGAUGGGUGUGCCUCUUUUGGGGUCGGUUCACAGGCGGUGCAUGGCUGUCGUCAGCUCGUGUCGUGAGAUGUUGGGUUAAGUCCCGCAACGAGCGCAACCCUUGUUCACUGUUGCCAGCACGUUAUGGUGGGGACUCAGUGGAGACCGCCGGGGUCAACUCGGAGGAAGGUGGGGAUGACGUCAAGUCAUCAUGCCCCUUAUGUCCAGGGCUUCACGCAUGCUACAAUGGCUGGUACAGAGAGUGGCGAGCCUGUGAGGGUGAGCGAAUCUCGGAAAGCCGGUCUCAGUUCGGAUUGGGGUCUGCAACUCGACCUCAUGAAGUCGGAGUCGCUAGUAAUCGCAGAUCAGCAACGCU
rnacentral:rRNA from 1 species